AUGCUUGCGCCCACUAGCUUUUAUCCUCUGCAUCCCAUGCUUUGUCCGAGACACUCUCCCUGGCGUCUAUGGCAACAAUCAAUACUUCUGAGAUGCCGCGAGAGGGAUGUGGACUGCAUCGAGGACUACCACAAUGGCGAGCAAAACGAGUACGACCUGGAGAACCUUGACAAUGGGCGGAUGAGCAGCUGCUUUAUAGUGGCAAGUCCUCGUGGCUGCAAUACAAUGGCAUGGAGAGGUGCUAGAUACAGUCCUAAGAUUGCUUGUUUAUUUUCCGAGUUUGAUUCACUUUUGGACAAGCCACCGUAUGUGUAA
rnacentral:rRNA from 1 species